ACCGGAAUUCCUGGUGUAGCGGUGAAAUGCGCAGAUAUCAGGAGGAACACCGAUGGCGAAGGCAGGUCUCUGGGCUGUUACUGACGCUGAGGAGCGAAAGCAUGGGGAGCGAACAGGAUUAGAUACCCUGGUAGUCCAUGCCGUAAACGUUGGGCACUAGGUGUGGGGGACAUUCCACGUUUUCCGCGCCGCAGCUAACGCAUUAAGUGCCCCGCCUGGGGAGUACGGCCGCAAGGCUAAAACUCAAAGGAAUUGACGGGGGCCCGCACAAGCGGCGGAGCAUGCGGAUUAAUUCGAUGCAACGCGAAGAACCUUACCAAGGCUUGACAUGUUCUCGAUCGCCACAGAGAUGUGGUUUCCCCUUUGGGGCGGGUUCACAGGUGGUGCAUGGUUGUCGUCAGCUCGUGUCGUGAGAUGUUGGGUUAAGUCCCGCAACGAGCGCAACCCUCGUUCCAUGUUGCCAGCGGGUUAUGCCGGGGACUCAUGGGAGACUGCCGGGGUCAACUCGGAGGAAGGUGGGGACGACGUCAAAUCAUCAUGCCCCUUAUGUCUUGGGCUUCACGCAUGCUACAAUGGCCGGUACAAUGGGUUGCGAUACUGUGAGGUGGAGCUAAUCCCAAAAAGCCGGUCUCAGUUCGGAUUGGGGUCUGCAACUCGACCCCAUGAAGUCGGAGUCGCUAGUAAUCGCAGAUCAGCAACGCUGCGGUGAAUACGUUCCCGGGCCUUGUACACACCGCCCGUCAAGUCACGAAAGUCGGUAACACCCGAAGCCGGUGGCCCAACC
rnacentral:rRNA from 1 species